AUCAACUUUCGAUGGUAGGAUAGAGGCCUACCAUGGUGGUAACGGGUAACGGGGUGUUAGGGCACGACACCGGAGAGGGAGCCUGAGAAACGGCUACCACAUCCAAGGAUGGCAGCAGGCGCGCAAAUUACCCAAUCCCGACACGGGGAGGUAGUGACAAUAAAUAACAAUACGGGGUUCUUUCGGAUCUCGUAAUUGGAAUGAGUACAAUUUAAAUCUCUUAACGAGGAACAAUUGGAGGGCAAGUCUGGUGCCAGCAGCCGCGGUAAUUCCAGCUCCAAUAGCGUAUAUUAAAGUUGUUGCAGUUAAAAAGCUCGUAGUUGAAUUUCGGGGUUAGUAGGUUGGUCAUGCCUCUGGUAUGUACUGGUCUCACUGAUUCCUCCUUCCUGGUGAACCGUAAUGCCAUUAAUUUGGUGUUGCGGGGAAUUUGGACUGUUACUUUGAAAAAAUUAGAGUGUUUAAAGCAAGCUAACGCUUGAAUACAUUAGCAUGGAAUAAUGAAAUAGGGCGUUCGAUCCUAUUUUGUUGGUUUCUAGGAUUGACGUAAUGAUUAAUAGGGAUAGUUGGGGGCAUUAGUAUUCAAUUGUCAGAGGUGAAAUUCUUGGAUUUAUUGAAGACUAACUACUGCGAAAGCAUUUGCCAAGGAUGUUUUCAUUAAUCAAGAACGAAAGUUAGGGGAUCGAAGACGAUCAGAUACCGUCGUAGUCUUAACCAUAAACUAUGCCGACUAGGGAUCGGAUGAUGUUAAUUUUUUAAUGACUCAUUCGGCGCCUUACGGGAAACCAAAGUGUUUGGGUUC
rnacentral:rRNA from 1 species